rnacentral:rRNA from 1 species
GAGUUAAUGCGUGUGAUUGCACCGGAUUCCACCUAAACUCCGCAGUUCAGCGUGCUUGGGUGAGAGUAGUACUAGGAUGGGUGACUUCCUAGUAAGUACUCGAGUUAAACCCU